AGCUCAGAUUGAACGCUAGCGGGAUGCUUUACACAUGCAAGUCGAACGGCAGCACGAGAGAGCUUGCUCUCUUGGUGGCGAGUGGCGGACGGGUGAGUGAUAUAUCGGAACGUGCCCAGUAGCGGGGGAUAACUACUCGAAAGAGUGGCUAAUACCGCAUACGCCCUACGGGGGAAAGGGGGGGAUUCUUCGGAACCUCUCACUAUUGGAGCGGCCGAUAUCGGAUUAGCUAGUUGGUGGGGUAAAGGCUCACCAAGGCAACGAUCCGUAGCUGGUUUGAGAGGACGACCAGCCACACUGGGACUGAGACACGGCCCAGACUCCUACGGGAGGCAGCAGUGGGGAAUCUUGGACAAUGGGGGAAACCCUGAUCCAGCCAUCCCGCGUGUAUGAUGAAGGCCUUCGGGUUGUAAAGUACUUUUGGCAGAGAAGAAAAGGUAUCCCCUAAUACGGGAUACUGCUGACGGUAUCUGCAGAAUAAGCACCGGCUAACUACGUGCCAGCAGCCGCGGUAAUACGUAGGGUGCAAGCGUUAAUCGGAAUUACUGGGCGUAAAGCGUGUGUAGGCGGUUCGGAAAGAAAGAUGUGAAAUCCCAGGGCUCAACCUUGGAACUGCAUUUUUAACUGCCGAGCUAGAGUAUGUCAGAGGGGGGUAGAAUUCCACGUGUAGCAGUGAAAUG
rnacentral:rRNA from 1 species